GGGCUCGUAGUGUAGUGGUAGCACGCCCGCUCCUUUCAAUAGGAGGACUCUUGUAUUAUAUUUGGUAUGGUACAAGAGGGGCAGCGCGAGGUUCGAUUCCCGCCGAGUCCA